rnacentral:ncRNA from 1 species
AGUCGAAGUGGGGAAAGGUUCCAUGUAAACAGCGGUUGGACAUAGGAAGUUCCGUUUCAAAGGCGCACUCGCGCGCCGUCUGACGAAAGGGGAGCCGGUCAAUAUUCCAGCACCUGGAUGUGGGUUUUGCGUGGCAACGCAACUGAACGCGGAGACGACGGCGGGGGCCCUGGGCAGAGUUCUCUUUUCUUCUUAACGGUCUCUCGCCGUGAAAUCGGUUUGUCCGGAAAUUGGGUUUAACGGUCAGAGGAGCCCAGCACCUCCGUUGGGUCCGGUGCGCCCCCGACGUCCCUUGAAAAUCCGCGGGAGGGUUCUCACGCCAGGUCGUACUCAUAACCGAAGCAGGUCUCCAAGGUGAACAGCCUCUGGUU